CCGCGUGUAGCCCAGUUGGUAGGGCGCCCCGUUCGGGUCGGGGAGGUCGGCGGUUCGAAUCCGUCCACGCGGACCA
rnacentral:tRNA from 1 species